rnacentral:tRNA from 1 species
GGAGAGGUGGCAGAGUGGUUGAAUGUACCUGACUCGAAAUCAGGCGUACGUGCAAACGUACCGGGGGUUCGAAUCCCUCCCUCUCCGCCA